UAAUUUUUUUAUAACCAGCUGUUACAUUGAUUCAACAAUAAACUUUUAGAAUUAAAGCGCUAUUCCUAUUCGUAUACAAGUGAUAUGGGAUUUUGCUAAGAAUGUAUGUAAAUAAUAAUUAAUGACUGUUUGCACUUUUGCUAUGAAUCUGAUUAGCUGCGUGUGACAGUAUAUGAUAAACAGACAAUUGCUUAUUUAAAGCUUGUUACUAAGGAAUUAGCCUUUUACUGACGGAUUCGGUUAUCAUAGCUACGAAAGUGUAUAGAAAAAUGUCAGAAUCUGAAGAAACACAUGUUAAAUCGGUUACUAGAAAAAGCUUUCGAGAUAGGAGACCUAUUGGGUAUGUUACGAUGAAACAAGAAGUUGAUGAAAAGACUUUUCAAAGACUAAAAUAUGUCGACUCCCGACAGGAAUAUGUAGUUGAACGUCAUUCACCGCGAGACAUCGGUUGUCAGAUGAACACAAAGUACGAGAUACAACUAUCAAGUCGAAACGUCCCUCAGACCCCAACACCGCCACCAUCACCACCACCAUCGACACCGCCAUCAAAGUGCGACGUUGGUUGUCAGAUGACCACAAAUUAUGUGAUACUACUAUCAAAGCCUCGAUCACCGCCACCUCCACCACCGCCACCACCAGCGUCAACAAUACCAACUAAAGAGGAACAGUUCGUUUAUUAUAUAGAUUUGAGACAACAUGUAGAAAUAAUUGAGCCAAAACCAUUUGAGAUUGAACCCCGUAUCUUACCUAAACCGAAGGUAAAAAAGAAAAAAGAUUACGAUUAUAUAGUCACAGUUCGUGAUGGAUGGAAUACAAUGGACGACUUUACGGAAAGACAUGAACCAGUGAAGACAUUCGUUAACGAAAGAGAGCAAUUGAAAAACACCAAUUUACCCGGAAAAAAAAGGGUACUAUGGAUUCCAAUUCCAUUAUAAGUCACCUGGAUAUAGUAGAGCUUAUCGUAAAUUAUAAAUUAAAAUGUUUUUCAGGAUAAUAGAUAAAUGCGUACAUUUGUGUAAAGUUACUUUAUAUAUGUUAUGUUAUUGUUAAUAUUCAAAGAAUCAGACCCCUAGUGUACCAUAUGCGCUGUGUCCACUGUCUCAGAUCUAGCAUACCUAGAAUGAUAUUGUUAUAUUGAAAAUGUGUAUUCUAUAACAAUGCACUUGUAUUUAUAGAUUAUUGUUGAUGAUCUCAACGAGAUUGAUUUUCUCGCUUGAGCCGGCACAGCGAAAGUGAGAAAAGCAAUCGAGUUGAGAUGACCAAUGAUAAUCUGUUUAUCGCUUUUUUACCUAUGACGACGUUGUUAAUUUCAACGGGCAAGUGCGCCCUAAGUUUCGAGCGAAAAUGUUUCAUAUCAAUCUUCUGUGCUGAGAAAGGAAAUUAUCAGUCAGUAAAUUGAAAGGAAAAUUUCGUUAAAUAGCGAUAAUAAAACUUAGAGAUGGUCAUAUGUGGUUUAUUUUUAAUUGGUGUUAUCUGUUUGCUAUGUUCGUUCCAAGAAAAUGUCAUUCACAUUCGGAAGAAAUGCUUGUUUUAAGUUAAUAUUAUCUGUUAAAUAAAGCACUGUUCAUAUGAGA